GACAUUUCUGACGGGAGUCGCCUGUCAUAGGAGCUUGGAUGGAGAUUUUUUGUUGGCGGAGUCCGGGGAUGUCCAGUCGCUAGGGAAGUCCAUCUGGGAUUUAUCUGAUAUGGAGGCUCAUCCGAAGAUCAUCCGUCGGGAAAGUUCGAUUUUAUGGGGAGCCUGGUAGGAGGUCGGUCGGCGAUGGACUUCGGAUAGUGCUGGGGAGGCUCGGCAGACAUCG
rnacentral:lncRNA from 1 species